CACUGCUAUCGGGGUUCGAUUAAGCCAUGCGAGUCGAGAGGGUUCAGACCCUCGGCGCACUGCUCAGUAACACGUGGAUAACCUACCCUGAGGAGGGGGAUAACCCCGGGAAACUGGGGAUAAUACCUCAUAGGUUUCAGAUGCUGGAGUGCUCUGAAACCGAAAUGCUCCGGCGCCUCAGGAUGGAUCUGCGGCCGAUUAGGUUGUUGUUGGGGUAACGGCCCAACAAGCCCGUCAUCGGUACGGGUUGUGAGAGCAAGAGCCCGGAGAUGGAUUCUGAGACACCAAUCCAGGCCCUACGGGGCGCAGCAGGCGCGAAACCUUUACAAUGCGAGCAAUCGUGAUAAGGGAACCCCGAGUGCCUGAAACCAGGCUGUUCAGGUGUUUAAAAAGCACCUGGAGAAAGGGCCGGGCAAGACCGGUGCCAGCCGCCGCGGUAAUACCGGCGGCUCGAGUGGUGGCCGCUAUUAUUGGGCUUAAAGCGUUCGUAGCUGGGUUGUUAAGUCUCUUGGGAAAUCUCACGGCUCAACCGUGAGGCGACU
rnacentral:rRNA from 1 species